AUAUUUCUACCAGUAUCACCGAGGUUCAGUAGGUCUCAUGAAAGAAUUUCGAGCCUGGAAUUCUCUAGAGAGGCCUCCAUGCCGGUAUUCUCCAUUGUAGCAGAACAACUCUCAUCAAUAUGUUCGCAUCUCAGCUCAAUCCGUCCAGCCAGCUUUUCUGUCAGGUUCUCUUCGUGUCUCCCAUAAAGUCGACUUCAACAGGACUGGGCAAGACUGAAAGUACCCCUGAGCCUCACCAGUAAACUGAUGACAGGCAGAUCUUCCACUGUCUGCCCUUUCAGAUUCUGGAAACUGACCCUUGAACUCAGGUCUUUGGGCAGCAGCAGUAACUCGAAGUUGCACAGCUUCCCGAGCAAAAGACCAAAGCCAAGCUCCACAUAUGGCGGCAGACCCUCCAUCACACUGAUCCACCCACAGAAUGCUGCCCAGGUACGUUGGUUCCACCAGCCACAACAAGCCUCGUGGUACACAGCAACAUUCCAUCUGGAAUUCCAUCCGGUUUUCUGAGGCCUCAUCCUGUCUUUGGAAGUAACAGACCACACUUCGGAAAGUGUCCUGUGCCAAGGGCUGGAUGUCAGGAAUCUUGGACCCGUUCUUGGAGCAGGGAAUUGAAUAACUUUCUCAAGUGCACGUUGACACUCCGUAUAUUUCUACCAGUAUCACCGAGGUUCAGUAGGUCUCAUGAAAGAAUUUCGAGCCUGGAAUUCUCCAGAGAAGCCUUCAUGCCGGUAUUCUCCAUUGUAGCAGAACAACUCUCAUCAAUAUGUUCGCAUCUCAGCUCAAUCCGUCCAGCCAGCUUUUCUGUCAGGUUCUCUUCGUGUCUCCCAUAAAGUCGACUUCAACAGGACUGGGCAAGACUGAAAGUACCCCUGAGCCUCACCAGUAAGCUGAUGACAGGCAGAUCUUCCACUGUCUGCCCUUUCAGAUUCUGGAAACUGACCCGUGAACUCAGGUCUCUGGGCAGCAGCAGUAUCUCGAACUUAGCUUCUCGAACAAAAGACCUAAGCCAAUCUCCACAUAGGGCAGCAGACCCACCAUCAAACGGAUCCACCCACGGAAUUCUGCCCAGUUAACUUGGAUCCACCAGCCACAACAAGCCUCGUGGUACACAGCAACAUUCCAUCUGGAAUUCCAUCCGAUGUCAGGAAUCUUGGACCCGUUCUUGGAGCAGAGAAUCGAGUAAUUUCUCAAGGGCACGUUGACUCUCCGUAUGUUUCUGCCAGUAUCAGCGAGGUUCAAUAGGUCUCAUGAAUGUCUUUCGAGCCUGAUAUGCUCUAGAGAUGUCUCCAUGCCGAUAUUCUCCACUGUAGCAGAACAACACUCAUCAAUGUGUCUGCACAUCUCCUCAAUCCAUGCAGCCAGUUUUUCUUCCAGCUUCUCUUCGUGUCUCCCCUAAAGUCGACGUCAACAGGAAUGGGCAUGUCUGAAAAUACCUCGGAGCCUCACCAGUAAGCUGAUGACAGGCAGAUCUUCCACUGUCUGCCGUUUCAGAUUCUGGAAACUGCCCCGUGAUCUCAGGUCUCUGGGCAGCAGCAGGAUCUCCAACUUACUCAUCUUCCCGAACAAAAGACCGAAGCCAAUCUCCAUAUAGGGCAGCAGAACCAACAUCAAACUGAUCCACCCACAGAAUUCUGCCCAGUUACAUUGGAUCCACCAGCCGCAACAAGCCUCGUGGUACACACCAACAUUCAACCUGGAAUCCAACCGGUAACUGCCAUCCCCAGUGGUUGAUGCAUCAAGUCCUUGUUGGGGGUGAUGCUGCAUUAAACGAGAGUUUCCUAAGGGAAAUGUGAUUCUAUCCACAAGGGUCCCAUGGUCCUUUUCUCUUCCCUCUUUCCUUUUGUUCAGUUCUGUAUACACAGUACAAACGGAAGGAAGAGUGUCCAUGUUCAGUUUAUGGAUUCACACCUAUUUAAACUUUCUAACAGUUCACAGUACACAGAGACCCAAUCAAGGAAACUCAUGUUUGUGUAAUAUCCAUUCACCCAGAUUACAUAUCCGUCUGUUGCUUUCUGCUGAAAA